GUGUAGGCUGGUUUUCCAGGCAAAUCCGGAAAAUCAAGGCUGAGGCGUGAUGACGAGGCACUACGGUGCUGAAGCAACAAAUGCCCUGCUUCCAGGAAAAGCCUCUAAGCAUCAGGUAACAUCAAAUCGUACCCCAAACCGACACAGGUGGUCAGGUAGAGAAUACCAAGGCGCUUGAGAGAACUCGGGUGAAGGAACUAGGCAAAAUGGUGCCGUAACUUCGGGAGAAGGCACGCUGAUAUGUAGGUGAAGUCCCUCGCGGAUGGAGCUGAAAUCAGUCGAAGAUACCAGCUGGCUGCAACUGUUUAUUAAAAACACAGCACUGUGCAAACACGAAAGUGGACGUAUACGGUGUGACGCCUGCCCGGUGCCGGAAGGUUAAUUGAUGGGGUCAGCGCAAGCGAAGCUCUUGAUCGAAGCCCCGGUAAACGGCGGCCGUAACUAUAACGGUCCUAAGGUAGCGAAAUUCCUUGUCGGGUAAGUUCCGACCUGCACGAAUGGCGUAAUGAUGGCCAGGCUGUCUCCACCCGAGACUCAGUGAAAUUGAACUCGCUGUGAAGAUGCAGUGUACCCGCGGCAAGACGGAAAGACCCCGUGAACCUUUACUAUAGCUUGACACUGAACAUUGAGCCUUGAUGUGUAGGAUAGGUGGGAGGCUUUGAAGUGUGGACGCCAGUCUGCAUGGAGCCGACCUUGAAAUACCACCCUUUAAUGUUUGAUGUUCUAACGUGGACCCGUGAUCCGGGUUGCGGACAGUGUCUGGUGGGUAGUUUGACUGGGGCGGUCUCCUCCUAAAGAGUAACGGAGGAGCACGAAGGUUGGCUAAUCCUGGUCGGACAUCAGGAGGUUAGUGCAAUGGCAUAAGCCAGCUUGACUGCGAGCGUGACGGCGCGAGCAGGUGCGAAAGCAGGUCAUAGUGAUCCGGUGGUUCUGAAUGGAAGGGCCAUCGCUCAACGGAUAAAAGGUACUCCGGGGAUAACAGGCUGAUACCGCCCAAGAGUUCAUAUCGACGGCGGUGUUUGGCACCUCGAUGUCGGCUCAUCACAUCCUGGGGCUGAAGUAGGUCCCAAGGGUAUGGCUGUUCGCCAUUUAAAGUGGUACGCGAGCUGGGUUUAGAACGUCGUGAGACAGUUCGGUCCCUAUCUGCCGUGGGCGCUGGAGAACUGAGGGGGGCUGCUCCUAGUACGAGAGGACCGGAGUGGACGCAUCACUGGUGUUCGGGUUGUCAUGCCAAUGGCACUGCCCGGUAGCUAAAUGCGGAAGAGAUAAGUGCUGAAAGCAUCUAAGCACGAAACUUGCCCCGAGAUGAGUUCUCCCUGACCCUUUAAGGGUCCUGAAGGAACGUUGAAGACGACGACGUUGAUAGGCCGGGUGUGUAAGCGCAGCGAUGCGUUGAGCUAACCGGUACUAAUGAACCGUGAGGCUUAACCUUACAACGCCGAAGGUGUUU
rnacentral:rRNA from 1 species